CCUACCGUGGUGUAGCGGUCAACACGUCUGACCCGGAUUGUCAGAAGACGUGUGGGUUCGAAUCCCAUCGGUGGCG